UACGUAGGGGGCAAGCGUUGUCCGGAAUCAUUGGGCGUAAAGAGCGUGUAGGCGGCCCGGUAAGUCCGCUGUGAAAGUCCAGGGCUCAACCCUGGGAUGCCGGUGGAUACUGUCGGGCUCGAGUCCGGAAGAGGAGUGUGGAAUUCCCGGUGUAGCGGUGAAAUGCGCAGAUAUCGGGAGGAACACCAAUGGCGAAGGCAGCUUGCUGGGACGGUACUGACGCUGAGACGCGAAAGCGUGGGGAGCAAACAGG
rnacentral:rRNA from 1 species